rfam:Oryza rufipogon genomic scaffold, chr08
AAAAAGACAAACCCUGGAUUUUCGUGUCCAACGUUUGACUGUCCGUCUUAUAUAAUUUUUUUUAUAAUUAGUAUUUUCAUUGUUGUUAGAUGAUAAAACAUGAUUAAUACUUUAUUUGUGACUUGUCUUUUUAAUUUUUUCUCAUAAUUUUUUAAGAUAAGACAGACGGUCGGACACGGAAAUCUAGGGUUUGUCUUUUU